UUGCUUGACCAAAUUCUAAAAAAAAUAUAAAGUAAGAAAUGUGUUUUGCACUAUAACGAUAAACGUUAUUUUAAGUAAAUAUUUUGGACCCGGGGGCGGUGCCCGGCACCUCCACCAAAAAGAUUUUAU
rnacentral:tmRNA from 1 species